GUCAAAAAUGGAAUCUACAUUAGAUUUGCUUCCCGCCAAUAAAUUUCUUAAUUUAAAUAAAGAAAACUUAGUUGUCAAAAAAUAAAGAGUACCGAAAGACAGCGUAUAGCAUUAUAACAACAUAACGUAAUAAUCUAGGUUGUAACACAAUGAAUUGUUUUCUUGCUUUGCUUACCGGCGACAAUUACUUUAACGACCUCCCACAAUCUGCGAACUGUCUUGUUUUCUGAUCAUCAUCGAAGUUGGAAGUUUUGUGUUAACUCAAAUGCGUGAUUUCGAUAAGUUUUCGCUGCAGUAAUUAAUAUAAAAACAUCAGCUCCUCCGCCUCGAUGUAAAGCUACCUUAUUGCGCAAAAGGGCGCCGACGGAACGAUUAAAAAUUUCCAAUUUCCGCAAGUCGCCAAGAGGGUUGUAAAUUUAGCGACCCGACGAACAUAAACAUGUCACGCAGGUGUACUCGCGCCGCGGGCGUGCCGGCUUCUUUGUAAAAUCAAGCGCCCCGCCUUUCUCUUCUUGCACAUUAUCAUUGAAUAACUUUAUCAGAAACAUUAACAUUCGACCAUUAUACCACCCCAAAUCGCUAGUUACAAAUGUUAUUGAAGACCGCUCAGUAACUGCAGCAAGAUUGUCUGACUGAUAUCUUACGUAAUAUUUGUUUAUAUAAAUUAAUAUGAACAAUACCAUAAUAAUAUUGCAUUAUUAAGUAUUAUUGUAAAAAAAAAUUAUUUAAUUCUAUUUUCAAGUCGCUAUUUGGAAUAUUCUUGCCAAAGAGCUAUCCGCCACAGAUAAAUAAUUUCAUCUGCUUCAAAAUUGUCGUUAAUGAAUAAUAAAAGUAUUUGCGUAAUAAUGUAAAUAUAAUUUAUUAUAAAUUCUCAAUUUUUUUCACAAAAUACACGAAUCAAUGUCAUUA